rnacentral:sRNA from 1 species
UAAAACAAAAAGGGGCCCUAAGCCCAUUAGGGCCGGACACGGAGCGGAUUUCUGAGAUUUUGGUGGUAUUUGUGAUCCGUUUGCUUUAUCAGAUUACUUAGUUUUCCGAUUUGUAUUUGCUUUGUUGGAGACUGAAUAUCUGGCUGUACGAAUAUCCGUUAAAAUCUAAACUCUUUGUUAGAUAUCCGAUUAGUUAAAUAUUAUUUUUUUAAAAGUAAAAAAUACAAAAAAAUUAAA